CCCAGCCCACUCUUUCCACACUUGACCCAACCCACAUCCAUUCUCCCCUCACAAAUCAAGAGAUCUAGAAAAUGCAUCAAAGCAAAUUAGAGAAACGGCGUGCUUCGCUUACACACGCGUGAAAACGAAGCAAACCAGAUGCCAUUGUCGUCUUCUAUAAAUGUCGCUCUCAACUCUUACUUGCAGCAGCAAAGCAAGUUUUGUUUUCAUCCUUGCAACCAUGAGAUGAAUGCACGUCGACGCCAAGGACAUGGGAAUCCAUCUUAAGAGUCCAUCCCCCUUCCUCUUACGAAAUGGGGUCUAAGAUUUUGGAAAAGUUUCGUUCGCGAUAAGAGAUUUUGCUUGGUUCUUUACUGUUGCUCGCAUCCGUGCUUGUUUGGAGGAGCUGGUUUGCCUGCUUCGUCACUGUCUCCAUUUUUCUGCGCGGAAAAAGGUGAUGAAUGACACGUCUCAAUAACACUCAACAUCUCAACCUCAGGCGCACAUCGACGAAUAAUGCCAAUAGCACAACUAUGAUACAGAUUCAUUGCAGUAUUCAUCAUCUAUAGGAUUGGAACUACAUUUAACCUGAUUACUGGAUCAAUGGGAUAUGUAGGCGCCACGAUGGUUCGAUCAUAAUGCCCAGUGUGAUUUUUCUUUCUCCUUGUAAUAAACACCAGGAAAGAAUUUUUCAUAAUAUCUCAAAAAUUCACAAUAAAGAUGGAAUAUCAUUUUUGAGAUUCGCCAAAAUUUUAACUAGGAUAGAAUUUUUAAGGAAGACCUCAAAAAUUCCAAUAAAUAUUGUGAGAAGAUUGAUAGCAACUUCAAAAAUCCUGCAGCACUUGAAGCUCAAAGUCAACUUGCAAAUCUUCAGUGCUGUCAUGGAACACGCGAAAGCAUUAGGGCGAUGAAGCUUUCAAGAUAAAGGAGUCAUCCACCUCGUAACAGUAGAAAAUCAUUGGGUCAUCCAUCAAUUGCAUUUUCAUUGCAUUUUUAUUUCCAAUAGGGCAAUUGCAUUUUUUGUUUAAUAAAAAGGUCAUGCAUUUUUCAUUUACCAAAAGGGUAAUUGCAUUUUUGUUUGCCGAGAGGGCCGCUGCAUUUUUUUUUAUCGAUAAGGUCAUUGCAUUUUUAUUUGCCAAGAGGGCCAUUGCAUUUUUUAUUUAAUAAAAAGGGUCAUUGCAUUUUUCAUUCACCAAGAAGGUUAUUUCAAUUAAGUUGCAUCUAUUCGAUGGUGAAGGAUGUGCACCAUAUCUUUUCAACGUUCAAGUCGGUGGAAACUUGCGUUGAAAAAUAUUUGUAUUUAAGUCGCAUCUAUUCGGUGGUGAAGGAUGUGCACCAUAUCUUUUCAACGUUCUAGUUGGUGGAAACUUGCGUCGAAAGAUAUUUGCAUUUAAGUCGCAUCUAUUCGGUGGUGAAGGAUAUGCAUCCUAUCUUUUCAACGUUUAAGUCGACGGAAACUUGCGUUGAUGGAUAUUUACAUUUAAGUCGUAUCUAUGGUGAAGGAUGUGCACCAUAUAUUUUCAAUGUUCAAGUCGGUGAAAACUUGCGUUGAAAGAUAUUUUUAUUUAAGUUGCAUCUAUUUGGAGGUGAAGGAUGUGAACCUUAUCUAUUAAAUGUUCAAUUCGGUGGAAACUUGUGUUGAAAGAUAUUUGCAUUUAAGUCGCAUCUAUUCGUUGGUGAAGAAUGUGCACCAUAUCUUUUCAACGUUCAAUUGGUUUACACUUGCGUUGAAAGAUAUUUUCAUUCAAGUCUCAUCUAUUCGAUGGUGAAGGGUGUGGAACAUCUCUUUUCAACGUUCAAGUCGGUGGAAACUUGAGUUAAAGGAUAUUUACAUUUAAGUCGCAUCUAUUCAGUUGUGAAGGAUGUGCACCAUAUCAUUUCAACGUUCAAGAUGGUGGAAACUUGCGAUGAAAGUUAUUUGCAUUUAAGUCGCAUCUAUUCGGUGGUGAAGGAUAUACAUCCUAUCUUUUCAACGUUUAAGUCGAUGGAAACUUGCGUUGACAGAUAUUUGCAUUUAAGUCGUAUCUAUGGUGAAGGAUGUGCACCAUAUAUUUUCAAUGUUCAAGUCGGUGAAAACUUGCGUUGAAAGAUAUUUUUAUUUAAGUUGCAUCUAUUUGGAGGUGAAGGAUGUGAACCUUAUCUAUUAAAUGUUCAAUUCGGUGGAAACUUGUGUUGAAAGAUAUUUGCAUUUAAGUCGCAUCUAUUCGUUGGUGAAGAAUGUGCACCAUAUCUUUUCAACGUUCAAUUGGUUUACACUUGCGUUGAAAGAUAUUUUCAUUCAAGUCUCAUCUAUUCGAUGGUGAAGGGUGUGGAACAUCUCUUUUCAACGUUCAAGUCGGUGGAAACUUGAGUUAAAGGAUAUUUACAUUUAAGUCGCAUCUAUUCAGUUGUGAAGGAUGUGCACCAUAUCAUUUCAACGUUCAAGAUGGUGGAAACUUGCGAUGAAAGUUAUUUGCAUUUAAGUCGCAUCUAUUCGGUGGUGAAGGAUAUACAUCCUAUCUUUUCAACGUUUAAGUCGAUGGAAACUUGCGUUGACAGAUAUUUGCAUUUAAGUCGUAUCUAUGGUGAAGGAUGUGCACCAUAUAUUUUCAAUGUUCAAGUCGGUGAAAACUUGCGUUGAAAGAUAUUUUUAUUUAAGUUGCAUCUAUUUGGAGGUGAAGGAUGUGAACCUUAUCUAUUAAAUGUUCAAGUCGGUGGAAACUUGUGUUGACAGAUAUUUGCAUUUAAGUCGCUUCUAUCCGUAGGUGAAGGUUGUGCACCCUAUCUUUUCAACGUUCAAGUAGGUGGAAACUUGCGUUGAAAGAUAUUUGUUUUUAAUGCAUCUAUGCGAUGGUGAAAGAUGUGCACCCUUUCUAUUUAACGUUCAAGUUUGUGGAAACUUGCAUUGAAAGAUAUUUGCAUUUAAGUCGCAUCUAUUCGGAGGUAAAGGAUGUGCACCCUAUCUAUUUCACGUUCAAGUCGGAGGAGACUUGCGUCGAAAGAAUUUUGUUCGUCCUACCGAUGGACAUACAUUCAAAAUUCUACUGACAGAUCUUUCUUUUUCAUUCGUCCUACCGAUGGACACACAUUCAAAAUCCUACAGAUGGAUCAUCUUUUUUUAAUUAUUCGUCCUAAUGAUGAGCAUACAUUAAAAAUCUCGUCGAUGGAUCAUUUUUUCUCAUUCGUCCGGUCGAUGGACAUACAGUUAAAAUCCUACCAAUGAAUUAUCUUUUUUUUUUCAUUAGUCCUACCAAUGGACAUACAUUUAAAAUCCUACCGAUGGAUUAUUUUUUUCAUUCGUCCUACAGAUGAAAAUACAUGAAAAUCCCUACCAAUGGAUCAUCUUUUUCUUAUUCGUCCUACCGAUGGGCAAACAUGUAAAAUCCUACCGAUGGAUCAUCAAUUUUUUCUUUCUUUUUUCAUUUGUUCUACCGAUGGACAUACAUUCAAAUCCUUCCGAUAUAUCAUCUUCAUUCGUCCUACCAAUGGACAUGUAUUUAAAUCAUAUCGAUGGAUCAUCUCUAUUCAUCUUAGCAUAAGAGAUGCUACCCUUUUUCUUUUAGUUUUGUCUAUACAAAUGAGUCUAAUCUUUGUUUUCUUAGAACAUCCCAGAGGAUGCACUCUCAGUGGAGCCAUAUGUGCGGACACUUCAACAAGGACGCAACAACGCGAAACCUUUUAGAUGCAAGUUGGAGAUCGACUUCCACUACAUUUCAACCACACUUUUUAACAAAAGUCAUGUGUUCGGUCAAAAUUGGCUUUGGCCACGAUUUCUUUCUUCAAUCAUAUCCAACGAAAGGAAAAACUGUUGACGCUCAAUUUUGGCCUAACAUUUUCAAAAUUCAUAAUUUUUAAGUUUGUUUAUUUCAUAGUUCAAAAUAUAUAUCUUUUAUGAUUUAACAUAAGUUUAUCGAUAACUAUCUUAUUCGUCAAAAUUUAGGAUUUUUUAUUAGUUAAUCUUAAUUACAUUAUUUUUCAUAGCCGAUUGAAUAAAUUCAAUUUUUUUUUAUUUUGAUUAAAUCAUUAUUUUUUCUAAAUUCAUUUCAUUAGUCACGUUACUAUAUAUAUUUAUAUUCAUUUUAUUCGUUAUAUUUGUUUCUAUAUUUUACAAAAUCUAAAAAAUCAUUUAAAUGUUACUGGUGAAUUUUCCAUACGGAGAUUGAUCAAUAAUUUUGGGCCACAACUCAAAUGCCACACAUUUGGGUCCAUUGCAUUUUUUCUAUUAGGUUUAGUUUUGGUCAAAAAUAGAAGGUGGUGGCUAAAUGUUAGGGGUAUUCUCAGAUUUUUGGGAUUGAAGAGACUUUUUAUUAUUCCUUAUUUUCUCGGCCGGAGUUCCGUCGGAAUCGGGUGUCCACCACCAAAACCCCCAUUUUUUUCUCCCAUUUUUCUCCAGCAAACAAAGACCAUACUCAAACCAAACUCGUUAGCUCUUUCCGACUGCCAUCCGACCAUAACAGCACUCAAAAACAUUUUUACGACACCACCAGUGCUCCAGACCACCAUCUCUUCUGGCAAGCUCGUUGCGGGAGCAAGACACCGCAUCACCAUCUAGACCACCCUUUCCUCCGGCAAACAACCACCUAAUCCUCCAUCUCCUCCACGUUUUCCACUCCUUUCAACAGCUAGAACAACAAGCCAAAACAACCACUCAAACUCCAUUUUCAACCAUUCCUCCACCUCCAAAUCAGACCUCGAAACCCCAACCUUUUCUAGCCUUUUCUUGCUACAAUUAACGAACCUGAGAGCUCGGAACUCGUGAAACCACCGGCUAGUCUCUUUAACUCUGUCCCCUUUAUGAUUUUGAUUUAGUUUGUAGGUAUUCCGGCCACCGCCAAGCGAACUCAGUGAGCUUCAAAGUUGUGGUUAACAAAUUAAAACCCUCCAGCAAAAAUGGAGCUAAAGAAGCCAUUAACGGCAAGCUCGAGGCUCUAGACUUCUACUCCGGUGAGCUGAACCAAAUAUCUUCAAGAUCGUGAGCCAAACCAGCCAGUCGCAAACUCAUCCUGUCCAACUCCAAAUCCAUAUGAACCAACAAUUCCAUUUCCAACAAGGCUUGCUAUCCCGAUAAGGUUCUGUAAUGACCCGAAAAAUUAUUUUUUUUGAAAUUCCUAUAAAAAUUAGUGUUUUACCCCUCUUUAUAAUUGUUCGGAGUAAUUUUUUGUUAGUCGGUGAAAUUGAUUGGAAAAUUUUAAAUUAGUCGAUAGCUACGGUAAUUUAAUAAAUUAUAUAUUAAAUAAUUUAUUUAUUUAGUUGGUGGUUAAUGAGCAAUCUCAUAAUUAAUUUAAUACUUAUACUAUUUUACUCAUAUAUUAAAAUAAGUUACUAGGAUUUAUUACUUUUUGCAUAUAAUUAAUCUAGAAAAGAAAAGAUAGAAAGGAUGAACGAAAAACUCACCUGCGGCACGGCGUAGGAGCAGCAACUAUCAGGAAUGAAUUGUAUCUCCAAAUUUAGUGAUUUCACAAUCAAAGGAUUAGGCGAGAGAACAAACAUGUUGCAUUGGCAUUAACGAGGUUACAAGCCCGGACCUUUGUGAUAUAUUCUCUUAUAAUCCGAGGCUUCUUGGAGAUUUGCGAGGUAGUUGUUUGUUAUCUCAGCAGACCUUCUUACUCCUGUUUAUGAUUUUGUUCUACUCUAGAAACAAUGUCAUAUGAGACUUACAUUUUUUUUUUAAAUUCAAUUGUAAUACUUUAGAGGCUUGUACACGUGACAACCAAAUUUUGGGGUAAUCUAGAGUUUAUUAUAAAGAUUCCACAUUUUAUUCUAAUAGUUGAGUUUUAGGCUGACUUAUCUUGGUGGAAUAAAAUGAGUGCCAUCACAUCCGUUUUUGGGUCGUGACAGGUUCACUAUUUCUUUCUUUA